AACGCACAUUGCGCCCCUUGGUAUUCCAUGGGGCAUGCCUGUUCGAGCGUCAUUUGUACCUUCAAGCUCUGCUUGGUGUUGGGUGUUUGUCUCGCCUCUGCGCGUAGACUCGCCUCAAAACAAUUGGCAGCCGGCGUAUUGAUUUCGGAGCGCAGUACAUCUCGCGCUUUGCAUUCAGAACGACGACGUCCAAAAGUACAUUUUUACACUCUUGACCUCGGAUCAGGUAGGGAUACCCGCUGAACUUAA
rnacentral:misc_RNA from 2 species